rnacentral:lncRNA from 1 species
CUGAUUGAACUAGGGCGUGGCUUAUACCCCUGCUGUCCCUGGAACGAGGUUCCCAUGGUGCAUCAUGUGGGUGCAAGUGCGGUCACAGUACGGUAGAGACCGGGACUGUGGAGCAUUGCAUGCCAAGGGAAGUUUGGACCUGACACGCGCCUGGGAAUUGAUGGGGACGGCCGACACGGGAAGCGACCCUUGUGGUGCGCGGAUGUCGUGAGAUUAGGUUCGCCAUGCAUGGUUAAGAAACCCGAAUCGAUUUGUCUGCCUCUCACAGUUUGAGACUGCUUGAUCGCUAUGUCACCCUGAGUAAUAAAGGAAUC